CACCACCUACAUAUAACUCCAUUAAAGCUUCCGUUAAGUUUAAGGGCAUUUUAGUCAAUUAAAUAUAAUUAUAAAUAAUUAUAAUAAAAAAUAGUAUAUAUAAUAAAAAUAAAAAAUGUUAACCUAAACCAGGCCUCUCCAACCCCAACACUCACACCCUCCUCUGUAUACACCCUCUACAUAACUCCUUCAACGUGAGUACUUGAUUGCUUAAGUAUUCCUAUUGUUAUGCAAAUCAGACUUUUUUUCUCAUAUGGGAUGAGACUAAUAAAGGAGAAUUAUACAUUGUGGAAUGAGAUGAAAGCAAGGGGCUUUAAAGCGAACAUAUAAUGGUUGCUUGCUGGUGAUGAGGUUCCAAAUUAAACUUUGGGACAUGGACAAUGACAAUGUGAACCUGGUUUUUUUUUUUUUUUUUUUUUGGUUGCAUCUUUCCCUGUAGAUAGCAUUAAUUCUGUGAUGGAUAAGAAUAGUUCCAUAGUUCCAUGCCAUCCAACACUUAUUGAGCUAGUGAGAUUAGGUAUGUCAAGCCCUCACAAAAAGGACAUUCGAAAGAAGAGGUGAUCAUUGGUGUUGUGCGGCUGAUUUUCAUAUACGAUCACCAUAAGAUCAAACCAGGGCACAACCACUAGGAGGUCGUUUGGUACACAGGCUUAGUUUGGACUGGCUUGGAUUAAAUUUAGUACCAUGUUUGUUUCAUUUAAUUCUAGUCUUAGAUGGGAUUGCUAAUACCGGGCCCACCAAAAACACCUCCUUAGGAGGGGACUACUAAUCCCAUGUAGAAAUGGAGGAUUAACUAGUCCUAUGUUUACCAAUGUAUGAGAUGCAUAUAUUAUAUUGUAAUACUAAUAACAUAUAUUACUAUUAUUAUUAUUAUUACAUACACAUAUACUAUAAUGUACAUAUAUACAUGUAUAUACACAUAUACAAGUAUAUAUAUAUACACAUAUAUACAUAUAUAAUAUAGUAUAAAUACAUAUAGAUAUAUACACAUAUAUUAUUAUUAUAAUAUACUCAUAUACACAUACAUAUUAAUAUUAUAAUAAUAGCAUACAUGUAUACAUGUAUAUAUGUAAUAUAUAUUAUAUUAUAUAUUAAUGUACAUAUAUACACGUAUAUACAUGUAUAUAUAUAAACACAUAUAUACAUAUAUAAUAUAUAAAUACAUAUAUAUAUUACGUAUAUACAUGUAUAUAUGUAAUAUAUAUUAUUAUAAUACAUGUAUAUAAGUAUAUAUACAUAUAUGUGUAUAUAUUAUACCCAUGUAUGUAUUAUAAUAUACAAAUACACACGUAUAUAGACAUAUACAUUAUAUAUUUAUACUAUAUGUAUAUAUAUAUAUUAUAAUAUACAUAUAUACACGUAUAUACAUGUAUAUUAUUAUUAUAACAUACCCAUAUAUAUUAUCUAUUAUAAUAUACAUAUGUAUAUGUAUAUGUAUUAUACCCAUGUAUAUAUUAUAAUAUAUAGAUACACCUAUAUACACAUAUAUUAUAUACAUGUAUAUACGUAUAUAUAUAUAUGUAUAUUAUAAUAUAUAAUAUAUAUACAUAUAUUAUACAUAUAUUAUAUAUACAUAUGUAUUUUAUAAUAUAUAUAAUAUAUGUAUAUAUACAUACAUAUAUAAUAUACAUAUAUACAGGUAUAUAUAUGUAUAUUAUUAUUAUUAUUAUUAUUAUUAUUAUUAUUAUUAUUAUUAUAACAUACCCAUAUAUAUUAUAUAUUAUAAUAUACAUACAUAUAUAUAAAUAUAUGUAUAUGUAUUAUACCCAUGUAUAUUAUAAUAUACAUAUAUACACCUAUAUACACUUAUAUAUAUGUAUGUACGUUUAUAUUAUUUAAAAUAUAUAAUAUUAUUAUAAUAUACUUAUAUACAUGUAUAUACAUAUAUAUUAUAUAUAUAUUAUAAAAUACAUAUAUACAUAUAUAUAGAUAUUUUUAAAAAAAUAAAAAAAUUAUAGUCCUAGUCCAAGCAUACACCAAACGCAGGAUAAGUGUUAUCCAACUUAGACCAAGCCAAGCCAAGCCAAGCUAGUCCCUAAGCAUAGUCCAUGCCAAGACAGUCCUGUGUACCAAACGAGCCCUAGGAGUUUAGGAAGGCCUCAAUUUCUGCCAUCACCAUAAGAUUAUGACCUCCAUCAUUGUUGAACGCUUCUUUUAUUUUUUUUUAAAUUUGUUUUUUAAUAAUUAUUUUUAGUUGUUGUUAAUUAAUGAAAAUACCCUAAACUUACCGGAAAUUUUAAUGGAGUUAUACGUAG
rnacentral:lncRNA from 1 species